AGACAGAUACACAGACAGACAGAAUGACAGACAGACAGAUACACAGACAGAAUGACAGCCAGACAGACAGAUACACAGACAGACAGAAUGACAGACAGACAGAUACACAGACAGAAUGACAGACAGACAGACAGACAGAUACACAGACAGACAGACAGACAGAAUGACAGACAGAAAACUUCUUAGAACCAUUGUCAUGUUUUAUCAGACCCAGCUCUGCCAGCUGACUUUAACAAACCACCACUUACUAUAUAGGAGAGGUCGGGUAAAUUUAAGAACCCACCACUUAUUGUAUAUAGGAGAGGUCGGGUAAAUUUAAGAACCCACCCUGUAUUGUAAAUAGGAGAGGUCGGGUAAAUUUAAGAACCCACCCUGUAUUGUAAAUAGGAGAGGUUGCAAUUUAUGCAACACAUUGGUCCAUGACAAACCUCCAGCCACAAAAGAAAACGAGCCAGGCUCAUUUCCGCCCUCUUC
ensembl:lncRNA